rnacentral:rRNA from 1 species
GUGGGGAAUAUUGCACAAUGGGGGAAACCCUGAUGCAGCGACGCCGCGUGAGUGAAGAAGUCAUUCGUGAUGUAAAGCUCUGUCAGCAGGGAAGAAAAUGACGGUACCUGACCAAGAAGCCCCGGCUAACUACGUGCCAGCAGCCGCGGUAAUACGUAGGGGGCAAGCGUUAUCCGGAUUUACUGGGUGUAAAGGGAGCGUAGACGGCUGUGCAAGUCUGGAGUGAAAUGCCGGGGCCCAACCCCGGAACUGCUCUGGAAACUGUAUGGCUGGAGUGCAGGAGAGGUAAGUGGAAUUCCUAGUGUAGCGGUGAAAUGCGUAGAUAUUAGGAGGAACACCAGUGGCGAAGGCGGCUUACUGGACUGUAACUGACGUUGAGGCUCGAAGGCGUGGGGAGCAAACAGG